AUAACCCUGUAUACAGUAAAUAUUAAACCCUGUAUACAGUAAAUAUUACUCUGUAUACAGUAAAUAUUACUCUGUAUACAGAAGAUAAAAAUUUCUAUAGUAAUAUAACAGUUAAUAUUAAAUACAAUUGUAACCUAUACAGAAAAUUAAUACUGUUUACAGAUAAUUUUACUUUAGUAGAUGUGAUCUUGUAUACAGUAGAUAUAAUCCGGUAUGCAGUAGAUAUAACCUGGUUUGCAGUAGAUAUAACCCUGCAUACAGUACAUAUUACCCUGUUUGCAGUAGAUAUUACCCUGUAUGCAGUAGAUAUAACCAUGUAUACAGAAGAUAUAACCCUGUAUACACUAGAUAUUACCCUGUAUACAGUAGAUAUUACCAUGUAUACAGUAUAUUAGCUCCUGAUUUCAGUACCACAGCACCAGAAAAUGAGUAACAAUACUUAAUUAAAUACCACAGCACAGUUAAACAGGAACAGUUCGUCAUACAAUACUGCAGCACCAUGAUGUCAUCUUUGACCAUAUGUUGUCAAAAUUUAUGAAUGUAUCAGAUAUCAAACUCACACAAAAAUACACCAACGAGUAGUCAAGAUUUAAUGUAGUAGCCUACAGUAAGGCUGGGGACCAAUCAUACAUUGUUGGACUGAAUCUUUGACUUAUCACUAGGCAUGAUAUACUAAUAUUUAUACAGCUGUGUUCACAUCCAGACUAGUGUAAUAUCACAUAUUUUGAUUAUCUGUUGACACUUACUUCACAGUCUAAUGGGGUAAAAUAUAUAUGAUUCUAAAGUAAUAUAGCAGAACAUCAAUGUAUUCAAGCACACUCUUGUAUACAAUCAGUUUCAGCCUAAAGAAUGUCUCAGAAGUGGUAACUUUGAGGGACUUGUAGAUACACAACCUAGGGACUUCAAAUCUGGGUGAAAAUUCAUUCUGCUCCGAUUGUUUGUGACCUGACAUGUACAUUAGCAUUAACAUUAUGAUUUGAAACUGGAACCAGCAUAACGGAUGAUUUAUUUCUAAACAUAUUUCUAUGACUGUCAAGUUAAAAAAUAUAGUUUUCAUGUACACAUACUAGAUGGUUGUCGACAUUAUUAAUUUCAAAUCUUGUGUUUUUUUAAACUGAAUAACUCCAGUUUUAAGACAUAAAAAAACACCACCAAAACUCUGUGGUCCUUCUGAAUGUCGUCCAUGGCACAUUGGCCCUGCUCGACUUGUUGAUCAGUGAUUCUGGGAACAAAACAGCAAAACUGGGUAACCACUUGAUAGUGUUAUAUGUUGCUUAGCUGGAAAUAGGAUAACAGGAUACAACAAAUCAAACAUAGACAUUGUAUUCAGUUCCGUUAAAAAAAGGUUGUAGACUUGAAAUAAUAGUUGAAUGUCCACAUGCCGUAUUGUUGACAUAUAUAUUCUAUAGCCAGUUCCGAGUUGAUGUUGAUAAACAGCAGGCUACUUUUGCCAGCAGCCGGCCUUUAGUUAGAACACUGACAGACACAGGGUAACCUCUAUAUACAGGGAAGGUUUCUUAUGUCGGGUCAUGUUUAAAUUAUGAAGAGAUUAUGUCAAAAUUCAUUUCCUGUUUACCAGUAUGUAAUUGGUGAACAUAUUUAUGUAAAUAAUCGGGUCAUAACUUGUAAGGUUAGUUAACCUCAUGUUUUAUAUUGUACUUUAAUACUUAUGUGUACAUACUGUAUGUGAAAUUCUUUCACAUGUUUAUCAAUUCAUGCCAUGAUACUGCCAAAGUAUUACCACGAUCAACGGUUAAGUGUAAUUAUUAUGUUAUAGAAUUGCUUUUGUUAGGUAUUUCUAUGUAUGCAAGAUUGUCAUGUAUUUGUUUGUUUGCCAAAAACCUCUACUGUAUAAUCCAUUAAAGCAUGCAGGGAAAAAUUAUCACUUUUAUUGUCAAUUAAGAAGCAGCUUUUAGAACAGGCCUGGAAAUAAAUCAUGUUCUAUAACCAAACAAGGUUUUCUUUGUGAGGAGUUUAAGAAAAAAAAUGUUAUUGUUCUUAGAAAGGAGACAUUUCAAUUCAUUUUCUAUACUUACGGUAAAAGACCCAUUUUGAGUUCAAUAAUUAUAAUAAAUGCCAUUUCUAAUUAAAUUCAAAUAUGUUAUCUUUUGAAGAUUAAUGGUGGAACAAAUUCUGCUUUGAGGUGUCAUAAGGUAGCAAAGUGGGAUAGAGUGGAUUCCUGAUUUAAAUUUUCGAAAUAUUUCUUUAUUAUUUUAUGGGUAUUAUGAUUAUUUUAAAGAUCACGCUUUUAAUGAUAUGUGAAUAUUAUGUUGUGACUGUCACAAAGUAAGAGUUUAAGUGUUUAGAUUCAUUUGUAGAUUUAAUGCAGAUCUCACUGAAUUGUAUUCCUUAGAGAAAGUUUAAUUGUAUAUGGAAAGUUAACUCAUUUACCCCUGAACUUUCAUAAUGAACUAUUCCAACCUUUGAAUUGGAAGAGUUCAAAUGUGUCUUCAGGGGUGAAUGAGUUAAACAAUUGGCAUACAACUUGAUUGUGUAUUGAAGAAUCUCGAAGUUAGUAUGGAUAUAUGAUUGGUUAAAUAUAUAACUUAUUUAUCUUUCAUGUUCUUUAUGCAAGAUAAGAAAAUAACAUAUGUCUUCAAAUGUGUUUGAGAAACCCUGAUUAACAAUCACUGACAUACCUUUGUGAGAGAUUUCAUUUUUUUGAAGGUCAAAUUUUGUGCUGGACAUUUAAAUGUCAAGGACACAUCUUAUAAAUUAUACCUAUGUUUUGUGGAAGAGUUUUUUAAAAGUUGUAAUUAACAUAACAUUUAAUAUAUGAAUGUAACAUUUGUGCAAUUUUAAUAGAUGUAUCUUUGUGUAGCUUUCAAUUUUAUCAAAUUCAUGAAACUGUUCUCAUAUUCAAGCAUGAAUUCUCUGCUCAAACCAACUAUAACUUGUUUGAGUCAUGUGACAUGGUCAAAAAGUUAAGUGUUCACAUUAAAUGGUAAUUGACAAAAUAUUUCCAUUUUUUUUUUAUAAGUAAUGGUUAAAAACUGAAUUUAUCUGAUUUUAUCACCAGAAUCCAGAAAUUGGCUUUGGUCUGAACACAGAAUCAGAUUGGAGAUUGAGAAUGGUUUGGUGAACAUAAGGCCAGAUCACCAAUCACAAAAUAUGUUUUACAAGUAAAGAACUCUUCUGAAACGGAAGUUCAUUUCACAGAAAGUUUGUAAACAUCCAUAAUAUAUUCACAUAUGUGUUACAGAAAGAUAGUGUACACUGUUAAUACAUACACAUCUAUAACACACAAAGGUAAAAUUGAUAAUCAGGAAUUGUCCAUUUCUGAUAACUUUAUACAUCAAAGUUCUAAUUUACAACAUCUGUCGUCCGUCAUUCUGUCUGUCCUUUAUAUAAUUCUCAGGAAGUUCUGGAGAGAUCUUUCGCAAAUUUCAUAUCAAUGUUCUCCAUGGCCCCAAGUAAUGCCUAUCAGUUUGGGACCGAUCGGAAAAACCAAGAUGGCCUACAGAAGGCCAUCUUGAGUUUUGAGAGCCAAUGGCUGUUCAUGCUUUUUCUUGGAAAUUACCGCAGGAAUCUUCCUCCAAUUCCAGAUAAAGGUUACCCAUGUCCUGUAGUUAUACAUAUCAAAUGUUUCGUUUUGAGGCUGAUCCAUACUUACUGCCAACUUUUUGAAUUUUCAUGGGGGAGAUUACGUCUGCUCAGAAUUGAACACCCUAGGGGAAAAGUAACACUUUUAGAUGAUAUCGUUUGAGCUGUUCUUUCAGGUGAAAUCAUCACAUCUUAGAAAAUAAGAAUAGUUGAACAAUUAAUUCACAGGUCGAAAAUGCUCAAUUUUGGGGUCUCAAAUUUGGAGUCUCCCUCCUAAAUAGGGAGAGUUUGCAAGUAUGCUGAUUAGAAAAACAAACCGGUCAGUCACUAGGCAGCCAUCUUAGAUUUUGACCGUUCCAGUUUGUUAUCACUAUUUCCCUAAAGGUGCUUGACAGGUCCUUCUCUCGUAAACUUCACAUCUUGUUUCCCCUUGUUACACAUUAAGCACUGUGCUAGUAAAUUGGCCAAAUAACAACCUGACUUUGAAAGAACAAUGUCCUACACAGCUAUAUGAACUGUUCAUCAUAAGUUAUCACAAGAUGCAUACAUUUACUGUUUAGAUGACCGAGUCCAAUAGAAAAAAAUAUAAAAGAAAGAAGAGAAAAAAUCAAUCUUACAUAAAACCUAUUUAGAUGGUACGAUGGUGGGCGCCAAGCUUGCUCCGUGAUCUCUUGUUGUUGACUCCAAACCUGUUAAACAAGGUCCCACUGUACACAGCUAUAACGGUCGAUCAUGAUAGGUUAAACAAGGUCCCACUGUACACAGCUAUAACGGUCGAUAAUGAUAGGUUAUUGGGAUUUAUUAUAUUAGAUUACUCCUGAAGUUGUAUUUCAUUAUCUUACACAGACUUGAUUUGUUAUUCAGUAAAUGAUACUACAUAUUGGUUGUGAAUAAGUAAUUUUCCAAUGAUCUUGGUUGUUGUUGUUUCGUGCUUUUAUCGUUUUAAUCAUCGACCUCCACUUUUAUCUUGAACUGUUUAUAUUUUAUUAUUUUACACUAAACAGUUGUAUUUUUGUUAAAGACAUGAAAACAUAUUCAGAUGCAGAAAAAAAUGUUGAUAAAACAAAUAUAUUUGUUAAAUGAUUAGAAUCUGAUUGAAAGUACAGUGUAUUACCUUAUUUACAAAAUAUCAAUACUUGUAUAAUAACAAAAUAGCAAAUGCUAUAUCUGUUUAAUCAAAUUCUGAUAAACAAAUUCUAUUUGAAUAUUUUUGUGUUCAUUGUUGACUGACCCUUAUAUUGGAUGCCAUCAUUAAGCUUUUAGAAGUUCUUUAAAGCUGUCAAUUGUACAACUUAUACAAAUUUCAUAGUAAAAUUGUUUUCAUGACUGUUUACAAUCAAAAUAAGUGUGUUUAUACUUUGCAAAUUAAAUAGACACCUGAAGUAAAGUUAAGUUUGAGUACUGACCUCAACCCUGUACCUUGAUGAUCCAACUUGUGUUGGCUUGUGUCCGACUUAAGGGUGUAUGUUACCUUACACAUUUUACUUGUGAUAUGUGUUUUGGUUGUCUCCCUUAGGCAUACAUGCUACAGUAUCUAACACAUAAAACCUGUAAAAUUAGUUAGAGUCAUCUUCCAUAAGGCUAUAUGCUAUUUUACACAUUUUUCCUGUGAAAUUUGUGAAAGUCGAUCUCUCUUAAUGCUGUAUGCUAUCUUACACUUUGUACCUGUGAUUUGUGUUUGAGUUAUCUCCCUUAAGGCUUUAUAGGCUUACUUACAGUGUUGGGACUUGCUUGUAAAGUCAUGAUUGAUCAUCGCUUCUAAUCAAGUGACUGAUGAUUGAUUAGAGGUCAAUCAUAUUGUGCGAAAAAGAAAUAGAUAUAAUUUAAAUAAAUAUUGGAAUAAGCAUU
rnacentral:lncRNA from 1 species